rnacentral:rRNA from 1 species
UUGGAGGGCAAGUCUGGUGCCAGCAGCCGUGGUAAUUCCAGCUCCAAUAGCGUAUAUUAAAGUUGUUGCAGUUAAAAAGCUCGUAGUUGAAUUUCGGGGUUCUACCGUUGGUCGGGCUUUGUCUGUACUGGCGUGUAGAAUUUCUACCUUCUGGGGAACCAUCAUGUUAUUAAUUUAACGUGGUGGGAAACCAGGACCUUUACCUUGAAAAAAUUAGAGUGUUCAAAGCAGGCUUAUGUCUGAAUACAUUAGCAUGGAAUAAUAAAAUAGGACGGUGGUCCUGUUUUGUUGGUUUCUGAAUCACCGUAAUGAUUAAUAGGGAUAGUUGGGGGCAUUAGUAUUCAAUUGUCAGAGGUGAAAUUCUUGGAUUUAUUGAAGACUAACUUCUGCGAAAGCAUUUGCCAAGGAUGUUUUCAUUAAUCAAGAACGAAAGUUAGGGGAUCGAAGACGAUCAGGUACCGUCGUAGUCUUAACCGUAAACUAUGCCGACUAGGGAUCGGACGAUGUUAAUUUUUCUUGACUCGUUCGGCGCCUUACGGGAAAC